rnacentral:rRNA from 1 species
ACAACUCAUGAACCCUGUGAAAAUACCUAAAACGUUGCUUCGGCGGGAACAGACGGCCCCGUAAGACGGGCCGGCCCCCGCAAGAGGACCCCCAAANUCUGUUGCAAUAUGUAUCUUCUGAGUAAACAAGCAAAUAAAUUAAAACUUUCAACAACGGAUCUCUGGGUUCUGGCAUCGAUGAAGAACGCAGCGAAAUGCGAUAAGUAAUGUGAAUUGCAGAAUUCAGUGAAUCAUCGAAUCUUUGAACGCACAUUGCGCCCGCCAGUAUUCUGGCGGGCAUGCCUGUUCGAGCGUCAUUACAACCCUCAGGCCCCCGGGCCUGGCGUUGGGGAUCGGCGAGGCGCCCCCCUGCGGGCACGCGCCGUCCCCCAAAUACAGUGGCGGUCCCGCCGCAGCUUCCAUUGCGUAGUAGCUAACACCUCGCAACUGGAGAGCGGCGCGGCCAUGCCGUAAACACCCAACUUCUGAAUG